rnacentral:rRNA from 1 species
GAACUGAAGAGUUUGAUCAUGGCUCAGAUUGAACGCUGGCGGCAGGCCUAACACAUGCAAGUCGAGCGGAUGAAGGGAGCUUGCUCCUGGAUUCAGCGGCGGACGGGUGAGUAAUGC